GACACUUUCUCAGCUAAAUAAUGACAUGAAAUGUCAGAACAGAAUGUGGACUGGGAGUGUGUGACAUUGGCCUGCAGAAUCAGGUGGCUGGGGGUAGAGGC